CCCGUUUGAGGACCCAUCGCGAUGGGCCCAAAUCGCAAGCAACCUUCUUUCAGCCACCGGCAAAGGUUUUAGCACGCGAGCGGUACGUGACCGCCUCGACCUGCUGCUCGCACAGUUUGCUGCAGAGGAUCGCGCCAACUUAAGAAGGUCAGGCACCGAGGAGCAAUAUAGCGAAAAGGAACACCUCCUCCAGGAGAUCGCCGAUCUGACAAGAGAAUUUCACUACAAGUACAAGGCGGCGGCCGUCCGGAGAGCGGCCCCGUCACGCCAGAAGCUCACAGCCGCCGAACGAAGCGACGCGUCUGCGUUACGGGACACCGCCGCCGCAACCAACUUAGCAUAUUCCACGAAUGGCAGCGCAACUGCGGACGCAUGCCGUGCCUCCACUUCUACUGAUGCUGCUGCUGCAGC